UAUAUAUAUAUAUAUAUAUAUAUAUAUAUAUAUAUAUAUAUAUAUAUAUAUAUAUAUAGUUGGACUGGGCUACUAUUAGUAGCAAAAUUCCAUUGUUGCUACCAGUUUUUUAGCCUUUGGAUCAACUCAUUUCAUUAUUUCUAACCAUUGAAUUAAAUACUAUAACCCAGUAGGGACCACUCAAUCUUAGGGGGACCGCUCAACUCUAACUGAUUAAUAUCAUUCUAACCCUACAAUUUUUCAUUCAAAGGUUAAAAAUUUGAUAGCAAAAAAAGGAUUUUACUAUUAAUAGUAUUCCAGUCUAAUUAUAUAUAUAUAUAUAUAUAUAUAUAUAUAUAUAUAUAUAU
rnacentral:lncRNA from 1 species